rnacentral:rRNA from 1 species
GUCCACGCCGUAAACGAUGUCAAUUAGCCGUUGGAAAUCUUGUAUUUUUAGUGGCGCAGCUAACGCGAUAAAUUGACCGCCUGGGGAGUACGGCCGCAAGGUUAAAACUCAAAUGAAUUGACGGGGGCCCGCACAAGCGGUGGAGCAUGUGGUUUAAUUCGAUGCAACGCGAAGAACCUUACCAGGUCUUGACAUCCAGAGAACUUUCCAGAGAUGGAUUGGUGCCUUCGGGAACUCUGUGAC